rnacentral:rRNA from 1 species
GAAAACUUAACAGGUCAAGACAUGGGCGUGAGUGACAGGAUAAUGACUUUUCUAGAUUCCAUGGAUGGUGGUGCAUGGUCGCACUUAGUAGGUACAGUGAUUUGUCAGGUUUAUUCCGGUAACGAACGAGACCUCGGCCUUGUAAAUAGCUAUGCUGCUUACAGGGACAUUGGCGGCUACGCCAAGGAAGCUCGAGGCAAUUGCAGAUCUGGAAUGCCCUUAGAUGUCCUGGGUCGCACGCGUGCUACAAUGACGCCACGAACGAGCUUGCGUGAUGAAAGUUACGCAUAAUCAGCAGUCGGCGUCUUAAGGGAUAGUCUCUUGUAACUGUGGGACUCCAACUAGGAAUGUCUCGUAAGCACAAGUCAACAUCUUGUGUUGAUUACGUCCCUGCUCUUUGUACACACCGCCCGUCGCUCCUACCGAUCGAGAGUUGGUGAAUUGAUGGACGUAAGGAAGUCAAAUAAACCUGAGCACUAGAGAAGAGACGUCGAUAUGCC